rnacentral:piRNA from 1 species
ACAAAUCUCCCAAACAUUUCCAUUGUCCCGUAAGGAAAACCUCCCGCUGUCGGGAGGGAAAAAGCUCACGGGAGCCAUGUUAUAAAGACACAAAAAAAAAAAAACUAAAGAGAGGAGAAGUAGGCAUCCGGGUCGUUCCAUAAAGGCGCCUUCCAUCUUGCUCCUCCCAAAAGAAACUUGAAGAAGAAAAAAAAAAUCUGCGCAAACUACGUGAGUUACCAUGAGUGAUUACCAAAAACACACAUAUAUAAUAUGCUUGAGUAGACAGAGUUUAAUGGGGGACCAAAUAAGCUCUCAUCUGGGACCGGCUGGGCAUGUUAGGUAGAGACAUUGGGUACUGACAGACGCUCACUUGAUGAGAAACCCAACGAUCCAAUUCCAUUCAGUUCUCUCAAGUCCAAGAGCUAAAAGCUCUUCUUAACGUCUGUUUCUAAACGCUUUCAUCCUAUCGACAUGUACAACUUUCACAUCGUGCAUGGUGACCCCUCUUACUCUAAAGUUAACAUCGGAGACCCUAGCUUCCACACGGAAAGGCCCAUAGACGUUGGAGUAACCUUCAGUCUUAGGAACAGUUAGCAUUACCAGGUCUCCUUUGUCGAAACUUCUGGUGUAAGGUGGCCUAGGAUUCAUAAGCUUUUUAACAGAAUUACCUGACAUAAACUGUCUGACAGUUUUCUUUGCUUUCCGCAUCACCCUUAACCUCUCAGCCCAAGUAGGCUUUCUAAAACUAUAAACAGACCCAGCGCUACACUCACACUUUAUGUUAAACUCAGUAGGUGGCAACUUUACAACCUCGUUUUCAAUGUGUACCACUGAUUUCUCCUCUAAGGAGCUUGAAACCAUUGGUUUAUGCGCACUGGCAACGUAGCUAAGGUCUAUAUAAUCACGGUCUUCUGGUUUCAAGGAAAUCAUGUUGCCACGUUCCCGUAUUGGGGGUAAUGGGAUAUUCAAUCUCCUAAUAUCAUUGAUUCCCAGAAUCCCGUCGUAGGCCUUAUCUCUGAGCGGCAUUAACCAGAACAUUACCUCUCCCAGCUCGCUGCCGUUUUCGUUACCAACUCUACAGGUUUUAACACGUGUAAGUGUCUGCUCGUGGCCUGUCACUGAAACCAUACUUAAAAUUUUAAGUGCAUCGUCCCAAUUCUCCUUCAAGACCUUGCACUUUUCAGAAUCAAUAAUACUGACUUGGCUUCCUGUAUCAUAUAACAGGUGCCACAUAUUGCCGUUAAUAUUCACCUUAACUAUUGGCAGAUUUCCAUACGGAUCUCCGCCAUAUGAACGUAUGUUCACUAUCUCGGCAUUGUCAGGAGUAUUGCGGUUGGCAAACAUAGAAGACUGUCUUGAGCAAUCACUAGCUAUAUGUCCUAAUCUACACUCAGGUGGACUCAGCCUGAUUUCGCCCAACAAUUUAGUCAGUUUUUCUAUCUCACCUCUAAGAUCUGCAAUACACUGCUCAUUAUCGUGCUUCAUCCUGUUUACACUGGAACUAAGCAUCUUCAUCUCACCCUUAAUGCUAUUUAUUUCUUUAACCCCUUCUACUGAACAUACCCCUUUCAUAAAGCUGCAACGGUGUUCUACACUAUCCUCCGUGGCCAUGACACUGACUGUUUUGUCUAUUGAUUUAGCCUCACUGCGAACAAUAGCCUCUCUAUACUUAUCGAGCACAUUUUCGAGGAAAAUUUCGAACACUAGGCUAUCGUCAAAACUGUACUCUACUUUAUCUCUAAUGGCCAGGAAUCUUUCUUUAAAAACCAUAGGACUUUCCCCAACUCUCUGCUUAAGACCUUCUAUUAAUUUAAGGCAUUCCCUAAUACCACGCGCUUUCUUAGGGUACAAUAUGUUCAGUUUACUAGAAAUACUUUUGAAACUGCUAUCGUUACGGAUACCCAUCUCCUCUAAGCUUACCCUAACUUCAGGGGAUAAAGCCUCGAACAUGAGCAAUGCUUUGACCUCAGGAUCCCAUUUGCCUACUCGAGCUUCAAGCUCGACUUCCCGAAUGAAAGAUUCUAGAUCAACCCCAUUAAACACUGAUAAGUUUAGCAAAGAAUUCGCGAACAUGAUGGAGUACAAAAAAUAAUAAUAAACCACUCAAUCAAAGAAAAAAAACGCACGUAAAAAUUACAGGAAUUUACACGUGCAAAACACCAGUAAUCCUGGCAGGCUCGCCAAUGACAAAUGUUACUUUGUACGGGUUAACACACAAAUACAAUAUACUAGGGCCUACAGUAAGAGUAACUUAAGCACAGAAAAAUCGUGGACUCAAAAGUACAACACAAAAAAAAGUAAAUAAUAAACCACAAUUCGUUAAAUAAAAUAAAAAAAAACAGUACUUAGCUUUAUUGCUGCUUAGGUAGGGAUCGGACCGGGGUUACACAGGUAUGCGCCGAGAUUGCCAGACAGGGAUAUAGCACGCAGAGAACACUUUAAGCGUCCCCACACGAUAUUCCACCACACUGGCUUCGACUCAUACCAUGUGUUAAAUUUCACUCCCUCCGCUGUAAGCUUUCGGACAAGCUUUUUCGGAGAACAUACACCUGACAUCACAAGGUAAACCUCCAGCUGCGGCUGAAUUUGGUAGGCCCGGAAGGCUGAGAGGGCACCGACAGAGGGAAGUGGAAGCCGGAGAGAGUUGGCUAAGGGUCGUGGCUGAGGGGAAAAGGCUGUGCCAAGUACACCAAGUACAGGCGGCAAGUAAAUCUGCUGAAAACUUUAUUAGUUAGUCACAAUCAAGUACAGGGGGGGAAGUAAAAAGGAUCNNNNNNNNNNNNNNNNNNNNNNNNNNNNNNNNNNNNNNNNNNNNNNNNNNNNNNNNNNNNNNNNNNNNNNNNNNNNNNNNNNNNNNNNNNNNNNNNNNNNAUGGGUACAAGUGGCUAUUUACAAGCAGAAGGGGUGGGAAACAAUGGGAGGUAGGUGGAAAGGAUGGCAAGUGGGCAUGAUGAUGAAGGGGUUACAAGGUUGGGUUGGCACAUGGGGUUCCAGGGGGGAUAUUUACAGGGAGACAGAAAGGGGGAUUAGGCAAAAAGUUACAAAGAGUCAUCAGAGGAUGGACAAUUCUCAGGCACGAAUCUACCACAGUUGUUGCCAAAAUCACAGGCAGAACGCCAGAGAGAGCUGGAUGUAGCAAAAUCAGAGAGGGUGGUAGGAAUCCUACCGGCAAUGGACAGGCAGGAAUGAAACAAGGUAGCCCUGAGGUCGUGAAGGUGAGGACAGUUGAAAAAGAUAUGGUCUACUGUUUCCGGAGCGAGAUGGCAGUCGGGGCACGUGACAUCACGCAAGAGGUCCCUUCUCCUAUACCUGUAGGAACCAAUGAAGGAGUGGCCUGUGAGAAUACCGGUGAUGAUUUGUGAUGAGGGGUGUAUAAACCUAUGUUCGUUAAGGAGCGAAAGAGGGGAGAUAUUGAAGACCUGGAAAAUGGUGGGGUUUUUGUCACGGAAUUCAAUAUCCCAGCGGUCCCAGAAGCUGCGCGAGGUGAACCUGUGCAGGUGGUUUUGGGAAGCCAAGGAAUAUAGUGGGGGCGAUGAUGAAUCUGCGGCGGCGGAGCGCGCCAGCUGAUCGGCUAGGCAAUUACCUAAGAUCCCUGCAUGGCCUUUGACCCAGUGUAGGGUGAUAGAUCUAUGGGGGAGGAGGGAAAAGAGCAACCUCUGUAUCUUGAACACCAGAGGAAACCUUGUAUCGAGGUUGGGGAUGGCGUGUAGAAGGGAAAGGCAGUCCGAGAAGAUCCCAACCGAUAGGUUAGGAGGAAGGGUGGAGACGUCCCGUAGCGCCGUGAGGAGGGCAAAGCUUUCGGCCUGAAAAACGCCGCAGUGAAUGGCAAGAUGUAGGGAGAGGGACAAGGGUGGAAUCCCAAGGGAGGAAGAGGAAAUUCUGGCGACGCCUGAACCAACCCCCUCUUUGGUUUUGGAGCCGUCGGUGAAGUAACAGACGUCAGGUGCACUAGGAGGGUGGGACGGUGGGAGAGAUCGGGAAGAAGAGGUGGAGACGGGUAGAGGAAGGGAGAAGGUCUCCUUUCGACCUGGAAGGGCAAAGGCUCGGGUGGGCGCGAUAGCGAAGAGAGAAGCAAGAUUUUUAGGUCGAGGGGAAGGAUCCUAAGGAGAGCUAUAGCUGCCAAGAGGGGAACGGUCCGGAAUCCACGGAUAGCGUGGAGGCAAAACUUCCGUUGUGUUGAACGGAGUUGACUCCGGCCCGCACUGGUCUUGACCGCAUCUGCCCAGAUCGGAGCGCCGUACGUAAUGGCGGGUUCAAUGGCCCCAAUGUAUAGUCGUCGGCGGGCGUGAAACCCGAGGCCUGAGCGGGCGUUGGAGCAACCCUUGAGGCGGCCUAGAAUGGACAGGGCACGGUCGCAUACCCAUUGGAGGUGGGAGUCGAAGGUGAACCUAUCAUUGAAGACCACCCCGAGGGCCCUUAGCCUAUCCGUCCAUGGGAUAACAGUAUCCUGUAAAGUCAAGGAGGGAGGGUUAGUAAAGAUAGGGAGGACCUCACUUUUGUGAGGAGUGAGGGUCAGCUUAUUGUCCAGACACCAGUCGGAAACGAGAUUGAUGGAGAGCUGGGCGCGGGAGGUCAGAAUGCCUGGGGGACCUGACACUACGAUCUGAAGGUCGUCCGCGAAUGCCUGUAUAUGAACGCCGGGUGGGUAGGGAAGGGAUAGGACAGGGUUGAAGGCAAUGUUCCAGACGUGGGGGCCACUCCUAGAUCCCUGGGGGCACCCUCGGGAGGGAAGCUUAGAAGAAGAGCAGUUUUUGUAAGAAAGGGUAACUGUACGGUCACUGAGGAAGGAGUGGUAAAGGGUCUGGAGGGUGGGUGGACAGGCGGCGGCGGUGAGCUGAGUAAGGAAGGACGGGUGCCAUAGGUGGUCAAAGGCAGACUUGAUGUCGAGACUGAUGAGGAGGGCGCAUUGGUUGGAACGUAUGGACUCCGAAAUUUUGGUCUUUAGUUGGGUGAGGGCGUCCGCAGCACUUCUCCCUUUCCUGAAACCAAACUGAUUGGGGUGGAGGAGACCGUUGGAUUCAAAGUGGUGCGAAAGUCGAAGGGAGAGCAUGCUCUCGAGGGUUUUACCCAGGAUAGGGAGGAGCACUAUCGGGCGGUUUUGGGAGGUGAAAUCCUCACCACUCAAUUUCUUGGGGACCAGUACAACUCGUCCUACUUUCCAGAGCUUGGGGAAGUGGCGAAGAGAAAAGCAUUUGUUAAAGAGGUUGAAGAAAAAGGUGGAGAAAGAGGAAAGUAGCCAUUUGGCGAAUUGACCGGGCAUCAAGUCAGAACCAUGGGACUUUUUAGGAUUGAGGACCCGUAGGGCAAGGUGGAAUUCUAGAGUAGAAAAAGGGAGAUCAGGUGGGGGAGGGGUAGAGGGAAUAGGGGGGGAGGGAAGGAAGUGGGAUGGGCGGGAAUUUGGAGGAGGCUCUAAAAAGUAGACGUCCAAGAUGUCCUUGAGGUUAGCAUUAACGUUCUGUUGGGUAGUGAGGGUUUCAAACCUCCUUGAACAGAACGGGUUACGCACGGAGAACCCUCGAGCGACAUAGCGGUGUAUAGGACCCCAAGGAUUAUGGGUGAAUGAAGAGGUAAAUUCCCUAAAGUGCCUUUUCUUGGCAUUGAGGAUAGACUUAUUAUAUUUGUUUCGGAGUCUUGCGUAAUCCUCGCGGUAGCUUUCGCGGAGAGGAGGAGCGACGGUUUUCAUUUUUCUGCCAAGUCUCCUUGAAAGCGUCUUCAAUCUCUGAAGUUCGGAGUUCCACCAGGGGACGGGGGGAGGGAAGGAGGGGAGAGGAGUUUUGGGGCUGAGGUUCUGGGAACAAGAAAGAUGUAGAAGAGAGUAGAGAAGAUCGAUGAGUAGGUCCAGCGAGGCCGCCGAGUCACAACUAUCUAGGGCGGUAGAAAGAGAGCUAUCGGGGGAAAAGAUAGAAUUGAGGGCUAGAAGGAGUCUGUGAGGGGGUGGGGAUUUAAGGUUGAAGGAGGAAAAGUCAGGGAAUAGCCUAGGAGGAGGGGAAGGGGGGGGACCGAGGUCUGGAACAUCUAGGCUAAAGAAGAUCUGGAAAUGGUCAGAAAGGGCACACUCCUCUGCCUUCCAUCCCGAGACGGCACCGGAGAGGUGGUUGGAGACGCAAGAGAUGUCUAUAGAAGACUCCCGUGAUCCGAGGCGGCGGGUGAUGGUUCCCACCCGGUUGCACACGUAGAGAUGCAAAGUGUCUAGGAGAUCAUUCACAUGAUCCCUUUUCCGGUUGGGACGCCGGAGGCUCCAUCGGGCUGAUUCAGCGUUAGCGUCGCCCGCAAGGAUAAGGUUGGGAGGAGGGGGGGAACCGAGGAGGGAGGAAAGAGAUUCAGUAGCACUGAGGAAGUUUGAGUUGCAGGGGAGGUAAAGAGAGCAGAUAGUAAGAUGAAAGUUCGGAAGGUCGACCACCGCAAUAGUGCGGUUGACAGUAGAAAUUUUGGGAAGGAAAAGAAUAGGGAGGUUAAGAUUGAGAACGAUAAUGCAGGAACUACAUUUGUUGUUUAGAAUAGGGGCGUGGAGAUAGGAGGAAGCGGGGACAGGAAAACAGGCAGGGAUUCGUCCAGAGCGAACAGGGAGUUCCUGGAGGAGAAGGAGGUCGAUCCCGGAAGAAAGAGCAGUAUGAAUAGAAGAAAAGAAGCACGGAAUAGACCUAUUGCAGUUUCGCUGCAGGAAGGAGAGCUUCAUUGUAGGCUGUUUUUAGAGUGGAAGUCCUCCUCGACUUUUUUCAGUACUGGGCAUUUUAAGGAGUCAGCCCGAUGUUCCUGUUGGCACCUGAAACAUUUAGGUUUCUGUGCGGUGGACGGACACUCACUCACGCUGUGGUUGUUGCCACAGUAGAGGCAUUUGGGAGACCCUUUGCAAACAGGAGCUUUGUGACCGAUUUUGCCGCAUUUACGGCACGGGAAGGUGGCCCUGGUCUUGGCGAUUGAUAGGAUGGUAUAUCCGAAGAAAGUCUUGGCCCUAUUGUGGAGAAGGGAGGCAUUGUUGGGACCGACCUCAAAAACAGCGUGUUUAGUAUUGUGGUCUGUGCCUAUUGUACGGAUCAAGCUGCACUUGUUGUCGGAAUUUUCGAGGCCCGAGAGGAAGAUGUCGGUAAGAGAGCUAUCUGGGGUAUCAGCUGGAAUAUCAAAGACCGUGAACCUUGGGUGGAAAGUUGGCGGGCGGAUGAGAUCGAGUUCCAAAUUAGAGGCUAAGGGAAUAACUUUAUUGGUUAGGGUAGCUAGGUCUUCCUUAUUUUUGGUGUGGAGCGUUAUUUUGGAAUUGGUCGCACUCACAUAGAGAAUGGGGACACCUAAGGAACGCAAGGGUUGAAUAGAACCAAGGCGGGAACCUAUAGGAGUCGGGACCUCUGCUUUUUGGGUUAGGGUGAUGUGAAAAGGGUUAUUACGGGGGGGAAUGGGGCGGAUUUUAGUUGGCCUAGAGUUAGUAACAGCAGCCCUGGGUUUAGAGGAGGUGGAGGGCGGGGGUUUGUGGGCAAUGGUGACUGGGUCGAUGGGGGGAGUGUUGGCAACAACUGUGGUAGUAGGUGUUACAGGGUUAUCGGGCAAGGUGCACACUUUAGGAGUAGGGGGGAGGUGGGUAGAGGGAUUUGGUUGGGCGGCCAAAACCAGUUGGGAAAAUAAUUGCAAUUCAUGGAUUCUAUGGGUGUAGGCAUAUUUAAGGGUGGCAAUGAUUUUUUCAAGUUGUUGGUAAACAAAAGAACCAAGUGUGCCGUCUGUGUCACCGAUAUGGUGACACAGCAUUGUACAGUUUUUGGUCGCCCAAUCAAAUGCCUGGUAUAAGGGUGUUGGUUUGGAGUUUAAAGGGAAGGGCAAUGAGAGUGGGGGAGCUGUCAGUGUGUAGUUACUUGGUGACAGAUUUAGGUCCUGUUCAGAGCUUGGUGUGGCUGAUGGAGGAUGGAUAGGGGUGGAGGAACUUACCCCAGGCCGGUUGCUAUGGAUGAGGUUACCUCCGAAUGUUGGGUCCAUUGCGGAGUCGAACAUUCUGUAGACGACUUCAUCAGAGGCUGGGCUGGGGAUGGGAGAAGAGGAGUCUUGGGAGGAAGACUGAGAGCCCCCAGGAGAGAAGGAGGCGUCGGAGGGAGGGGGCGGAGGUGUAGUCUCUGGAGGGAGCGCUGAGAUGGGGGCACGUAACUGGGCAGGCCUUCUGUUGGUUGUCUGACGGCGGGUGGGCCCACCGGCGGGCGGGCGGCUGUUGGGGGGCGUGCUGGCAGGUGCGCGGCGAUGGGCGGAGGAGCCGCCGCUCGGGGGGGAGGGCAAAGGAGCCAGCUUGAAAGAGAGAUGAUGUUUCCUCGUCUGAGGGGAGAAAGCAAUUGGCGGUGUGCGGCCGCUCAGGAGAACCCGCGUUUUGAUUUGCUGCGGGCAAAAAUAAAUUCCGGGAGGGAGGAUCGGCGUUUGGCGGCCGUUCAGGAGGUCCGGAAUAAUAAUUUAACUUUUUUCCUCGUUUGGCGGGGUGCCCAGGAGGGUAUUCAGGUGGAACACACACAGUCGCAGGGGCACAGGAGCGCGGGGGCACUGGAGUACAAGAAGUCUCGGGCGCUGUAGAGGUGUGUAAAGAGGUAAAAUAAUUUUCCCUAUUUAGCAACCUUGAAUAAACUGACACCACCAGAAAAAGUGAGUGCCCUUACUUCAGGCAGUAUCCCUGUGCCUUACCACGGGUGGGGGGUCACAAGGGACUGGCAAGAAGCGAUCCUAAUUCAAGGGAAGCUUUUGACUCCAAGAGUAUCCAGGAAUCCUUACCACUGGUGGGGGGAAUAACUAGACUCGCUGAAGUUAUCGA